AGUGUAGCAGGGAAGAAGUAGCCAGCCAGUGCCAAAAAGUAGGCUGAGGUCAGACUCCUUCGAGGUGCCAAAAGAACCAGAAUGACAUUUUUGUCACUGAAACAUCUGAUGCACUGAAUCAUGGGACGAGCAUUUUGCAAUUCUUUUUUUCUGUUGGUGGAGUCGUACAUCAUUCAAGUUUUCAUGAGGAUUAUUUAUUUACUUAUUUAUUUAUUCCUAUGCUUUAAAAAUGACUGCAGCUUUCACUUCCUUCAGUUUGACCCGGACCAGCAAUGAGGCUGAGACAGCCAGGAACGAGAGAGAGAGAGUGCACAGCAUCACACCACAUGUGUGCAUGUUGAGUUGUCACUGAAAAGUGAAAAAUAAAAAGAACUCACCUGUUCUAAAGCCUGCUUCCAGUUCCUCUGCUUCCCACAAGCCACAGAACUGUUACACAGAGUCAGGGUCCUUCUAGAACAGGUUGCUUUAUACAGACAUCAUGUGACAGAUCAUGUGACACUUUGAUUGCACACAGCUUGUAAUGCAACAAAACAGGACAAACACCAAGGGGGAUGAAUACUUUUGCAAGACACUGUAGAGGAACGAUAGAGGGUGUCUUGAUCAGUUGUCUCACUAUGUGGCACGGGACCUGCACAGUCUCCCAACAGAAGACCCUAUCACUGGGGUCUCUCGACCUACCAUUGACACCUCAUACAACAACCUGUCCUGUGUAUUUAUUGUCCUGUAUUCAUCUUACACUGGUGUGUAUUUUCACUUUAUGUCAUCUUGUGUACUAUUACAUGUUGCACCAAGGAUAAAUGACAUUUCGUUCCAAUGUAUAUAAGCUAUAUAGAGGAAUGACAAGAACAACCCACUUGACUAGAAAGGGUCAAAUGUGAAAAAAAGAUUAACUCUCCCUUUAAGUUGAAGAUCAGAACUGUAACUGAGAGAUGCCUCUGUUCUGAAUAGUGCUCAAGUCUGGAGAUACACCUGAGGUCUGACUACCAUGUUGUCAUGGCCGUAACUACCAUUGAGGACACUGAGGUCAUGUCCUUGGUAUUUUUUUCAGAAAUUUAAAAUUGGUCUACACUGAAUUUGAGCAGUGAUCAAUGUAAAACGCAGCGUCCACAUCCACAUGUCAUCUGUAUUUCCCCCCAAUAAAAUUCACAUUUGUCUAAUGUCAUCUGAAAUCUCUCAGCCUCUAUCUCUAUCGUUGCCGUGUCUAACGCAGCGUCACGCGACGUAGCCUAUACUAGUGUCAGCCGGGGAAGUUGGGUUUUGGAUAAAACAGGCAGGGUGUAGUCUACGCUCUAUCACAUAUGCCUACCUAACCUAACGUAGGCUAAUAGUCACAUCGCAUUAUAGAGCUUUACCUGAGUGCAAAAUGAAAACAUUGCAACAAACUAAAUUAAGGUUUGGACAGCCAACAGAAGAGCAGGGAAAGAGAAGGAGGGAAGGUGAGAAAAUAUUGUCAGUGCAGUGGCAGACCGUUCAGCGGUGUCAUGCCAACUUUCCAAGGGGAAACGUUUCAUUGUCAUUGCCUAUUACAUUUUAGUUAGCAUUUCAAGAAACAUUCAAAACUACGUUGUCACAGGCAGCCCUGUGCAGGGCUGAGUAAACGGGCUUGUUUGAGUAACUCUCUUUCUCUCAUAACUCUCUCUUUCUCUCUCACUCACUCACACAGACACACACACACAAAUAAUACACUCUCACACACUCUCUCUAAUACAUAGUCUUCACACAGAAAUAAUAGCUCUACAUUCUAAUGUAAUUUAAGAUAAUGAAAUGUAAAUAAUGCCAAUACUUCAGGUAGCUGAGCAAUACACUCAGUUCAGUUCAGUUUUGACUUUUAUGUCAGACAAAACUCCACAGUUAUGAUGGCACAGUUUUAGAAUUGUUGAAGUAAAUGUGUUAUGAGCCAAACUUACAUUACAGGCAAUGGUGAGAACACACUGUUUCAGAGAAUGCAUGCAAAUGGAUCUCAAUUCAAGACAGCCAGAUAGACUGAUGCCUUUACAUUACUGCUCAGACUCUACACAUACAGACACCCACAAAUAACACACAAACUCUCAGUUACUCUCUCUCUCUCUCUCUCUCUCUCUCUCUCACACACACACACACACACUAUUAUUAUAAGGUGUAAUCUGGGUGUGAUUUGCUGGGGGGGGGAUCAUCCCCCCUCUGGUUUUUAUCUCUGCUGAAAAAAAAUCCUCGGGGACAACCCCAUCAAUAAAACAAACAAACCAAAAAAAAAGUUGACAUGACAGGCAUGUUGUGACACAGUUUUCUAUGGUCUACAUUGCACUCACUUUCAAAAUGACCUGAAGUGGCAGCUUUGAUGUUCACGAACGUCCCCAGCAAAUAGAUACAUUGUAGAUAAUAACAAUAUCUUUGCGUUCUAUGCAGGGAUGCAAACAGCGCACCUUUUGGCGGAUGCCGCCUUUUUCACGGCCGAUUUUUUUUUUUUAGGGGGGGCGUUGGAGUGUCUGAUUAUAGUUUCAAAGUAAAUUCUGUAUUAAAAUUACUAAAUAAGCAAAUCCAUUACAGUCCAUGAAACAGGAAGUAUAAGGAUAAGAAAAAAAAAACAGUUUAAAUCGGAAAGCUGCGCACAAUGUGAACUGCGCCAUCAGAGCAAACUGUUCAUUUAUUAUUCAUGUAUUUUAGUGAUUUUCGAGUCACUGUCCAUUUAAUCCGGAGGGAGAGAAACAUCACAGCAACGCGACAAGCAAUGCGAACUUUGUUGUGUUCGUGUAUUUAGUCAGAGAGAUAGGAAGAUGAAUUUACUAUCUCUGGUUUAGUGUUCAUUUUCAUUUAGUGUUAUUCAUUUGAUAUCAUCGGAUGUUACUGAGCUGUUAGCCUAUUGUUACCUUAAUUUUGUGACGUUUCAUGAUUAAAAAAAAAAAACAUCCUCCCUUCUGGUUUUUUGACAAAUCGCACCCUGGGUGUAAUACUAAAGCUUACAAUUCAGCAGUUCACACCCUUUCUGUCAUGUGUAUGCUGCAAUGUAAAUAAUGCCAAUACUUUAGGUAACUGGUACUUUAGGUCUGUCUACUCAGUUCAAGAGUUCACUACCUUUCUACUUUUAUGUCAGAUAAAACACCACAGUUAUGGUGCCACAGUUGUAGAAUUGUUAAAAUAAAUGUGUCCACCACCAAA